rnacentral:rRNA from 1 species
UACGAAGGGGGCUAGCGUUGCUCGGAAUUACUGGGCGUAAAGGGCGCGUAGGCGGCGCGGCUAGUCAGGCGUGAAAUUCCUGGGCUUAACCUGGGGGCUGCGCUUGAUACGGUCGUGCUAGAGGAUGGAAGAGGCUCGUGGAAUUCCCAGUGUAGAGGUGAAAUUCGUAGAUAAUUGGGAAGAACACCGGUGGCGAAGGCGGCGAGC